GAUGAACGCUGGCGGCGUGCUUAACACAUGCAAGUCGAACGAACCUUCGGGUUAGUGGCGAACGGGUGAGUAACACGUGAGCAAUCUGCCCCCGACUCUGGGAUAACCCCGAGAAAUCGGAGCUAAUACCGGAUACGACACCUCCUGGCAUCAGGUGGGUGUGGAAAGAAUUUCGGUUGGGGAUGAGCUCGCGGCCUAUCAGCUUGUUGGUGAGGUAAUGGCUCACCAAGGCGACGACGGGUAGCCGGCCUGAGAGGGUGACCGGCCACACUGGGACUGAGACACGGCCCAGACUCCUACGGGAGGCAGCAGUGGGGAAUAUUGCACAAUGGGCGCAAGCCUGAUGCAGCAACGCCGCGUGGGGGACGAAGGCCUUCGGGUUGUAAACCUCUUUUGGCAGGGAAGAAGCGAAAGUGACGGUACCUGCAGAAAAAGCACCGGCUAACUACG
rnacentral:rRNA from 1 species